rnacentral:lncRNA from 1 species
UACUAACAAAUAUUGAGACAAAGAGCAAUAUUACUAACAAAUAUUGAGACAAAAAAAGCAAUAUUACUAACAAAGACUGAGACAACAAGCUAUAUUACUAACAAAAAUUGAGACAAAAAGCGAUAUUACGAUAUAUCUGCAUCCAAAUCCACCCUAUCUUCAUGGUUAAAGACCUCUAACUUAUCAUAUAAUAUUGAAGUACACCAGCAUUGUGUUGCUGACAUUUAUAACAAGAAGCAAUCAAUAAAUUUUAGCAAGCCCAUAACAUUUUUGCAAUAUAUUCUACAAUCCAACUUACAAAGAUCAAAGGUAACUGUUUUCUCCCUUGUGCAUCAGCCAUCAAGUGCAUACCACCAUCAGUAAAUUUACAUGUCAAAUAAUUAAAAAUCAAUAAAUUUACAUGUAUUUUAAUUAAAAAUUAUGUUCCCUGAUCAGUGCUGGAAAUACAAAAGGUAAAAAGCCAUUGCAAAUUUUAUCAUACGCACUUAGGGAGGAUGCAAGAGAGGGGAGGGAGGACUUUAUGGCUUUGUUGUUUUUGUUAUUGUUGUAACUAAUCCACUUCAGUUUGUCACACAAAUUCAACCAAGUCAACUUCGUGCAAAAAAGUAAUUUUGAGCAUUCUCCACUUCUAACAUAUUCAGCACUAUUCGGUCUUCAAUCACUAUUUGAUUUUCCAUGGAAUUUCCUAUAUUACCCCACUUCCACUAAACCAAAGGUUGGCUGCCAUCAUGCACAUCAGUUUAAUAAACUACAUUAGUUAAAUUAAUCUCUUUCUUUACUCUGAAACUUCCCCAGCUUAUGACAAUAACCUUUGUCACAUACAACUCACAGAACCACUAUAUCAGCAAGCAGAAUGUCAAUUCAAAACUAAAAGCACAUGAUAAUGUUAUCAGUCUUCAAAUUAUCUAAACAAAUCCGUCUUCAAUUGCAUAAAUAAUUAGUAAAAACAUCAAAUAUGUCCUCAAAAACCAGUUUUUAUUGGCUGAAAUCCUAUUUUAGUUUGAUUGCUUUCACACAUGUGAGAACCACCAACCAAUAAGUUCCUUGAUGUCUCCAAAGUCGGUUGUCGAGUGCGGUGCCAAGCACGACAUGAUCAGGUCCAAGCCCAACGUGACAGCAGGCUGACCCGACCUGAGGUGCUGAGAAGCCAAACUGGAG